rnacentral:rRNA from 1 species
GGCAGCAGCUAAGAAUAUUCCGCAAUGGACGAAAGUCUGACGGAGCGACGCCGCGUGGAUGAUGAAGGUCGGAAGAUUGUAAAAUCCCUUUAUGACUGAGGAAUAAAGAGAGUGAGAGAAACGCUUUCUGGUGACUGUAGGUCAUGAAUAAGCAACGGCUAAUUACGUGCCAGCAGCCGCGGUAACACGUAAGUUGCGAGCGUUGUUCGGAAUUAUUGGGCGUAAAGGGCAUGUAGGCGGUCCUGCAAGUCUGGUGUGAAAUACCGGGGCUCAACCCCGGAACUGCGUUGGAAACUGCAGAACUUGAAUCGCUGAGGGGCAGCCAGAAUUCCAGGUGUAGGGGUGAAAUCUGUAGAUAUCUGGAAGAAUACCAAUGGCGAAGGCAGGCUGCCAGCAGAUGAUUGACGCUGAGGUGCGAAGGUGCGGGGAGCAAACAGGAUUAGAUACCCUGGUAGUCCGCACAGUCAACUAUGUACACUGGGUGUCCGGUCAUGAGACUGGGUGCCGAAGCAAACGCGAUAAGUGUACCGCCUGGGGAGUAUGCCCGCAAGGGUGAAACUCAAAGGAAUUGACGG